rnacentral:rRNA from 1 species
ACGAGUGGCGGACGGGUGAGUAAUGUCUGGGAAACUGCCUGAUGGAGGGGGAUAACUACUGGAAACGGUAGCUAAUACCGCAUAACGUCGAAAAGACCAAAGAGGGGGGACCUUCGGGCCUCUUGCCAUCAGAUGUGCCCAGAUGGGAUUAGCUAGUAGGUGGGGUAACGGCUCACCUAGGCGACGAUCCCUAGCUGGUCUGAGAGGAUGACCAGCCACACUGGGACUGAGACACGGCCCAG